CAAAAUUCAAAUACUCGUUGGCAACGUCAGAUGAACGUCCAAGGCAGUUUCUUAGUAUGCCAGAAGAAGCCCAGCAGAUGGUUCUUUAACCUGAGGCACACAUUGCAGUUUGGCAUUGGAUUACAAAGAUGGAUCUCUGGUUGUGGAGCUUUUUGCAGACAACAAGAUUCAGGCAUUUCUGUCUUACCUCAGUAUUGGUUUGUACCAGCACAUUGGCAUGGGUUGUAAACCUUCCAGGUCAUCAUCUGGUCAUUAUAAAGGUAAGGCAAAAUUUGUGCAGUAUCUUUUUCAUUUGGUUCCUAUAUUUACAAAGGUUUCUAGUAGGAGUAUAUUGCAGCAGCUGUUCUUCAGGACAAAUUUACGUAAGUGUUGAUUCUCUUG